GGAGGAGGUUUGCUUGUUUCUCUGCAAUGAAGAUGGAGCUGAAGCUGACAGCUCUAAAGCAUCCUAUCUUUAGAUCUCUUGCAUCUCCCAUCUAUCGCCUUUCCUUCCCACCUUCUCCCUUCUGUUGCUCAACUUCACCAUCAGAACCAUCAGUUCAGGUUUCAGAAUCUUCCCCAUUCAUGGAGGAUUACUUCAUACGUUCCUUUGGGUGGUCAAGAGAGAAAGCCAUACACGCUUCAAAGCGCCUCCUCCACAUAAAAUCACCCAAAAAGCCCGAUGCCGUCCUUGCCUUCCUCCGCGGCAUCGGCCUCUCUGAAUCCCAACUUUCUGUGGUCAUCAGUCGCCGACCAAUCAUCCUCACUGCCGGUGUAGAAUCUUCCCUCCUUCCCAAGGUCAAGCUUUUCGAGUCUCUCGGUGCUUCCGGCAAAGAACUCGCGGACCUCAUCGCCUCCUCCGCCAGCUGCUUGAGCAACAGCGUCGAUCGUCGUAUUGUUCCCUGCGUUGAUGUCUUACGUGACCUCCUUCAAGAUGACAAGAAGGUUCGGCUCGCUCUCAAGCGAUGUCCCUGGAUCCUCUCCAGUAACCCUGAUAAGGUUUUGCGGAGAAACGUUGGGUUCUUGCUUCAGAAGGGCCUUGAGGGGCCGUCUCUAUCGACGCUUAUCUUUAAGUCUCCUAAUAUUUUGGUUAUGAAAUUGGAGCAGCUGAGCGUGGCUUGUCAGAUUGUGGAGCAAUUUGGGCUAGCUUGUAGUUCUUCACCGGAGGCUUAUGCGAAUGCCCUGCAUGUGGUGACUACCGUCUCCAAAGAGAACCUUUCCAAGAAAUUGGAUAUUUUCAGUACUUACGGGUUUGAGGAAUCUGAUAAGUACGUGUUAUUCAAGUCAUCUCCCGCAGUUUUUAGAUUGAAUGAAGAGAACUUGAAGAGUAAAUUGGAUUUCUUUCUCUCUUCAAUGGAUAAUCCUCGUGAGCUGCUGCUGAAAUGUCCCCUGAUUAUGGGUCUUAGCCUGGAAGAGAGAUUGAUGCCCCGUUAUAGCUGGAUACAAAAUCUGCGUUCAAGGGGUUUGGUUUCAAAAAAGAUUGAUUAUGCAACGGCAUUUUGCAUUAGUGAGGAUAAAUUUGUGAAACGCUAUGUCCACAAAUUUAAGGAUAUAGACGGUUUGGAUCUGCUAGUAGCUUACAAAGAGUUUAGGAAGGAAAGAAGUGGGACUCUUCAAGAAAAUCCUGAAUUGAAAGAAGCAGAAGCAGUCUGAUCUCCAAAAGGCAGUAGGGACUUGGUUUGUUUUCAUUGCAGUUAGGACACAAGUGAUUACUUGUACUUAACAAGCAUGCAGAAAGAAAAGAGGUAUGCCUUUGGCACACCAAAAUUGUAUUUUCUUUUGGAAGGCGAAUGUGAUUAUGUUGCUGCUUUCAAG